GUGGAAAGGAAGACAUCAUGUUCUGAAACACCAUCACGUGACCCGAAAUUAAGCAAUUGCGUUAUUUUUAAUAAUUCUAAGAUUUAUAUUAGACUAUUUAAAAAUAUUAGGGCCCAAUAACUUUGUUUAAGAUUCCAAUUAACUAUUUUAAAAUAUUUGAGGGGCUUAAAUGAUCUUUUGACCUUUUUAAAACAAUAAGAACGAAAGAGAAGGCAAGAAAAGAACAAGGAAAAAAACAAGCAAUUUAAAAGUAUUAGUCGCAUAGCAUUCCUAUCAAGUGUUGCUG
rnacentral:misc_RNA from 1 species